rnacentral:rRNA from 1 species
UACGUAGGGUGCGAGCGUUGUCCGGAAUUAUUGGGCGUAAAGAGCUCGUAGGCGGUCUGUCGCGUCGGCUGUGAAAACCCGGGGCUCAACCCCGGGCCUGCAGUCGAUACGGGCAGACUAGAGUGCGGUAGGGGAGACUGGAAUUCCUGGUGUAGCGGUGAAAUGCGCAGAUAUCAGGAGGAACACCGAUGGCGAAGGCAGGUCUCUGGGCCACUACUGACGCUGAGAAGCGAAAGCAUGGGGAGCGAACAGG